rnacentral:rRNA from 1 species
GACGAACGCUGGCGGCGUGCUUAACACAUGCAAGUCGAACGGAAAGGCCCUGCUUUUGUGGGGUGCUCGAGUGGCGAACGGGUGAGUAACACGUGAGUAACCUGCCCUUGACUUUGGGAUAACUUCAGGAAACUGGGGCUAAUACCGGAUAGGAGCUCCUGCUGCAUUGUGGGGGUUGGAAAGUUUCGGCGGUUGGGGAUGGACUCGCGGCUUAUCAGCUUGUUGGUGGGGUAGUGGCUUACCAAGGCUUUGACGGGUAGCCGGCCUGAGAGGGUGACCGGCCACAUUGGGACUGAGAUACGGCCCAGACUCCUACGGGAGGCAGCAGUGGGGAAUAUUGCACAAUGGGCGGAAGCCUGAUGCAGCAACGCCGCGUGCGGGAUGACGGCCUUCGGGUUGUAAACCGCUUUCGGCUGUGACGAAGCGUGAGUGACGGUAAUGGGUAAAGAAGCACCGGCUAACUACGUG